AAGUGGAAAAUAGGAAAGAUUUUUUACAAGAAAUUUGGUAUUUCAGAGAGAAGAAACUCAAACACAAACAGAGGAGGAGGAAGAAAAGUAAGGAAGAAGCCGUUUCAAAGGCAUAUUGUAACUAAAUGGCAAAAUCUUUUUCAGACUCUGAGGUUUGCCGACGGAUUUGUGCAGGGCCAGGGCCCAUAAGUAGCGAAGUAGAUGAAAUGCCAUCGAACGAAAUAGUUGGAAAAGAUGCAUUAAGGCAUCCGACCACUUAACUUUAGCAGUGAGGAUGGAGAAGGGAAUGGAACGACCGGGCAAAGCUUCAGAUUGAAUUUGACCCGCUACAAAGCAGCACGUUAAAACUAUCGUUGUGGAUCGUUUAUUCCUGAUGUGACAGGAGGGUUUGUAUUCAACAUGGGAAAAGAUGAGACAAGAAGAGGUUGAGAGAACCAAAGAGGAACUAGUAUUCACAUUCUUUGAGCAUCAGGAUACACAUAGACUGGAAGUGCUUCUAGACUGGAAAUCUGUGUAUGUGAUCUUUUACUUGGCUUGUUCAUGAAAAAAAUGUUAUCAUUUUGCAAACCCUUGUAUUUUUCAAAUUUCCACUGGAAAAAAAAUAACCAUGUAGUUCAGAAAUGUGGAAAUU